rnacentral:lncRNA from 1 species
AGUUGUUGUAUCUCUAUACCAGUAGGAUUGGAGUCACUUGAGUUUGUGUUGAGUCAUCAAGAUGACCCAUAUUAUCCCUAGAUUUGUUUUGCUGGUUGUAGUAGUUGGUUUGCAGCUGGUGACACUUAUGGAAUAUUUCUCAGUUUUUCCCCUUAUUUGAUCAUGUAGCCACAUUAUUGUGUUGUCUUUCAUUUCAAACUUGUUUUUGUAACCCUGAUUAUCGUUAUAACUACCUAUGCAUUUCUUUUCAUAACAUUGUUGCACCAUACUGUUCCUUUCACAUCAGUUUCAAAUAAUACCUAUGCUUAAUACCUAUGUUUCAGAAUAAUACCCUGAACUCUUACCUUAUGAUUUCUAUGAUAUGGC